ACAAACUUGGUCAUUUAGAGGAAGUAAAAGUCGUAACAAGGUUUCCGUAGGUGAACCUGCGGAAGGAUCAUUAUUGAUUUUUUAAAAGAUGUGCUGGCACUUUGUGCAUGUGCACUCUUAACAAAAAACCAAUAUCCACCUGUGCACCUUUUGUAAGCUUAAAGGUUUCUUUUUGCUUAUGUUCUUUUUCACAAACCAUCAUUGAUUUAUUUGAAUGUAAUAUUGAAAUAACCAAUACAACUUUCAACAAUGGAUCUCUUGGUUCUCGCAUCGAUGAAGAACGCAGC
rnacentral:misc_RNA from 1 species